GAUGAACGCUAGCUACAGGCCUAACACAUGCAAGUCGCGGGGCAGCAUGGGGGUUGCUUGCAAUCCCCGAUGGCGACCGGCGCACGGGUGAGUAACGCGUAUCCAACCUGCCCUUCACCACGGGAUAACCCGGCGAAAGUCGGACUAAUACCGUAUGUUGUCCAUUGACGGCAUCCGAUUUGGACGAAAGGUUUGGCGGUGAAGGAUGGGGAUGCGUCCGAUUAGCUGGACGGCGGGGUGACGGCCCACCGUGGCGACGAUCGGUAGGGGUUCUGAGAGGAAGGUCCCCCACACUGGAACUGAGACACGGUCCAGACUCCUACGGGAGGCAGCAGUGAGGAAUAUUGGUCAAUGGGCGUAAGCCUGAACCAGCCAAGUAGCGUGCAGGAUGACGGCCCUAUGGGUUGUAAACUGCUUUUAUGCGGGGAUAAAGUGGCCCACGUGUGGGUUUUUGCAGGUACCGCAUGAAUAAGGACCGGCUAAUUCCGUG
rnacentral:rRNA from 1 species